rnacentral:lncRNA from 1 species
UACCUCAGCUACUUAAACAACCUCCGUGUUCAAGAUGUUUUCAGCUCAACGCACAGCCUCCUUCAUUAUUUUGACCGCCUGAUUCUCACUGGAGCAGAGGGCAAAAGUAAUGGGGAAGAAGGUUAUGGCCGGAGCCUAAGAUACGCCGCUCUCAACCUGGCUGCCCUGCACUGCCGCUUCGGCCACUAGUAAGUUCGUAGACUUCUGUCCAUGCAGACAGGGAGGACCAGUAUCUCAGUGUUCACUGAAACUCGUUUUUAAAGAUAAUCCACCGCCUGGAGGGGUAGUGCACCCUUUUAAUCCCAGUACUCAGGGGCAAGGCACAUGGAUUUCUGAGUUUGAGGCUAGCCUGGUCUACAUAGGGAGUUCCAGGCCAGCCAAGGAUAUGUAGUGAGACCCUGUCUCAAAGAACAAAAAAACACUCUUCCACUUGUGAUGGCACACGUCUGUAAUCCCAGCACUGGGGAGUUGGAGGGAAGAGGACAGAUGCAAGCUCAAGGCCAGUCUGGGCUACACAGAAGACUCUGUCAUAAAACAGAGUCAAAAACAAACAAUUAGGGGUUGGGGAUUUAGCUCAGUGGUAGAGCGCUUGCCUAGGAAGCGCAAGGCCCUGGGUUCGGUCCCCAGCUCCGAAAAAAAGAACCCCCCCCCCAAAAAAAAAAAA